rnacentral:ncRNA from 1 species
GUUGGAGUAAUGCGGGUUGUAGUUGAUGAACACGAAGCCGCGGCACUGGUCGAUGGUAUGGAACAGCGGGUUCCAGGUGAAGAAGGCCAGCAUGUAGCUCGGUAGCUGGUUGGCCACGAACAUCUUGCCCGAGGCGAUCAUGUUGGCCCGG